rnacentral:sRNA from 1 species
GGAGCAGCGCGGCUCAGGCUGCGGGAAAGCGGUGCCGGUGCAGCGGGGUGGUUGCGCUGGUCCGCGGGCGAGCUCGAGCAGCCAAACCCGGGCGCGUCGGGGCCAUGGACGGCCUGAGGCAGCGCGUGGAGCACUUCCUGGAGCAAAGGAACCUGGUCACCGAAGUGCUGGGGGCGCUGGAGGCCAAGACCGGGGUGGAGAAGCGGUAUCUGGCUGCAGGAGCCGUCACUCUGCUAAGCCUGUAUCUGCUGUUCGGCUACGGAGCGUCUCUGCUGUGCAAUCUCAUCGGAUUUGUGUACCCCGCAUAUGCCUCAAUCAAAGCUAUCGAGAGCCCAAGCAAGGACGACGACACUGUGUGGCUCACCUACUGGGUGGUGUAUGCCCUGUUUGGGCUGGCCGAGUUCUUCAGCGAUCUACUCCUGUCCUGGUUCCCUUUCUACUACGUGGGCAAGGUGGGCCCUGCCAGGGCGGGCACAGCCGUGGAGCGCAUGGGGCUCGGGGAUUCCUGGGAGGCGUUGGGGCCAGAAAGUCCGGAGGAUACCAGGAGAUGGGGGAUGUGAGGGGAAGACUCAGUCCCUUCCCUGGGGAAAUAAGCCCUGUCCGGGGGCUGAUGGUGGAGGGCCCACCCUGAAGAGUGUCUGAUGGUGGAGACCCAAGCCUGCUCAAAUAGGAUGUAUGAUGGUGGAGGGCCCACCCUGAAGGGUGUCUGAUGGUGGAGACCCAGGCUUAUUCCAAUAGGAUGUCUGAUGGCACAGGGCCCACCCCUAAAGUGUGUCUGACAGUGGAGACCCAGGCCUGUCCCAGUAGGACGUCUGAUGGUGGAGGGCUCACUCUAGAGGGUAUCUGAUGGCGAAAACCCAGGCCCAUCCCAAAAGGAUGUCUGAUGGUGGCAGGCCCACCCUAAAGGGUGUCUGAUGGUGGAGACCCA